GAGAUGACUGAACAUGAAUGUAUGAAAACUGUGACAUCUGAGAAUGCAAAACCAAGUAUAAGUCUUUAAUCUGAAACAAGUCUAAAAUUCAAAAGAUUAUAAAUUGCAUAGCUGAAAAACUAAAAGUCUAUACACUUAGUCAAGCAAACCUAAACUGAGAAUACAUUGAAAUACUGUACUGAGACUGUGGGAGGUAUCAUCCAACUGACAUGCCCCA
rnacentral:lncRNA from 1 species